rnacentral:rRNA from 1 species
AAUAUUGGCCCAAUGGGCGGAAGCCUGAUGCACGCAUGCCGGGUGCAGCAAGACCGCCCUAUGGAUGUAAACCCUAUUGGGCGGUAAGACUAAGGGAUAAGUGUAUAAGGUGGCGGUCCUUAAAGAUAAGGCCCGGCUACUUCGCGCAGCCGCCGGCGUUAUUCGGAGGGUCGGAGGGUUAUCCGGAAUUCUUGGGUUUAAAAGGUUCGCAGGCGGGCAUUUUAGUUAUAGUAGAAAAGGUGGAGGUCAAACGUAGAAAUGCUACUGAUAAUGGAUAUCUGAGUCAUAGUAGGGUGAACGGAAUAUGUCGUGUAGCGGUGAAAAGCAUAAAAUUUGGAAGAACCCCGAUCGGGAAGGCAGGUUUCUAGCCAAUACUGACACUAUGGACAAAGCUGGGGGGAAAACGCGUUGGAUUCCCCAGUGACCCUCCUGA